AUUGAACGCUGGCGGCAGGCCUAACACAUGCAAGUCGAGCGGUAACAUUUCUAGCUUGCUAGAAGAUGACGAGCGGCGGACGGGUGAGUAACGCGUAGAAAUCUACCUAGUAGUGGGGGAUAGCCCAGAGAAAUUUGGAUUAAUACCGCAUACGCCCUACGGGGGAAAGCGGGGGAUCUUCGGACCUCGUGCUAUUAGAUGAGUCUGCGUCGGAUUAGCUUGUUGGUGAGGUAAUGGCUCACCAAGGCGACGAUCCGUAGCUGGUCUGAGAGGAUGACCAGCCACACUGGAACUGAGACACGGCCCGGACUCCUACGGGAGGCAGCAGUGGGGAAUCUUGGACAAUGGGGGCAACCCUGAUCCAGCCAUGCCGCGUGUGUGAAGAAGGCCUUAGGGUUGUAAAGCACUUUCAGCAGUGAGGAAAGGGGUGUCGUUAAUAGCGCCAUCCUGUGACGUUAACUGCAGAAGAAGGACCGGCUAACUCCGUG
rnacentral:rRNA from 1 species